rnacentral:rRNA from 1 species
UACGUAGGGUGCAAGCGUUGUCCGGAAUUAUUGGGCGUAAAGAGCUCGUAGGCGGUCUGUUGCGUCGGCUGUGAAAACCCGGGGCUCAACUCCGGGCCUGCAGCCGAUACGGGCAGACUAGAGUUCGGCAGGGGAGACUGGAAUUCCUGGUGUAGCGGUGAAAUGCGCAGAUAUCAGGAGGAACACCGGUGGCGUAGGCGGGUCUCUGGGCCGAUACUGACGCUGAGGAGCGAAAGCGUGGGGAGCGAACAGG